rnacentral:sRNA from 1 species
UCAUCGUUUAUAUGGUGCACGGUUGUU